rnacentral:rRNA from 1 species
CUAAGGUAGCAUAAUCAUUUGUCUUUCAAUUGAAGACUAGAACAAAAGAUUUAACAUUUAAAUUUUUUUCUUCAAUUUAAAUCUCAAUAUUCUCUUAAAUGUAAAAAGACAUUUAUCAAAAAGAAAGACGACAAGACCCUAUUAAACUUAACUUAAGUUAAACUGGGGCAGUUAAUUAAUUAUCAUUUUAUAUAAAAAUAUGAAAUCAAACAUCCAAUAUAAUUGACUAAUUCAGUUACUAUAGGGAUAACAGCGCAAUUAAUAUUCAAAGAUCUCAUAAAAAUAUUAGAUUACGACCUCGAUGUUGAAUUAAUUACCUAAUUAAAGCAAAUUUUAAAAAAGGAAGUCUGUUCGACUUUUAAAAAAUUACAUGAUUUGAGUUCAGACCGGUGUAAGCCAGGUCGGCUUCUAUCUUCUAAAUCAUAUCUAUACAGUACGAAAGGACCUAUAGAAAAUUUAUAAUUUAUUGGCAGACAAAUGCAUUAGAAUUAGAAUCUAAUUAAACUAAU